ACUGAAAUAGUUUGACUUGAGACUAAGUCUUAUGUGUUGUAUAGACUGAUAGGAUUAUGUGAUAAUGUGUUUAGGUUAUUUUAUGCUGUGAUGAUAUUAUUCUAAUAUUUGGAGAUCGGUAUUAUCUGUAUUAGGUCUUCGGAUAAAGCUAAGUUAUUUUUCGUAUCGGUAAUCAACGGAACAGGCAAGUUUGUUUUCUUAACUCUAC
rnacentral:lncRNA from 1 species